AACCCCUGCAUCAUCAAGCCUGUAGUCGUACACCAGGCCUUCUUCAGGAAAACACAAGGCACUGAAGCACUGGCGGCCGGCUACAUCUCCCGUGGCUCCGACGCUCCACACCAGCGAAAAAAAGAACCAAGAUGCUGCCCCUCUACGCAGAAGUGCUGGAAAGAUACCAUCGGUCCUACACGGGUGAAGAAACAGCCAAAAUCUGAGUGUCUUGUUACUGUGCGGUGUGAGGGUUUGGAGAGAAGCGCAUU